GACGAACGCUGGCGGCGUGCCUAAUACAUGCAAGUCGAGCGCAGGAAACUGACGGAACUCUUCGGAGGGAAGGCAGUGGAAUGAGCGGCGGACGGGUGAGUAACACGUAAGGAACCUGCCUCAAGGAUUGGGAUAACUCCGAGAAAUCGGAGCUAAUACCGGAUAGUUCAACGGACCGCAUGGUCCGCUGAUGAAAGGCGCUUCGGCGUCACCUUGAGAUGGCCUUGCGGUGCAUUAGCUAGUUGGUGGGGUAACGGCACACCAAGGCGACGAGGAAUAGCCGGCCUGAGAGGUUGAUCGGACACACUGGGACUGAGACACGGCCGAGACUCCUACGGGGGGCAGCAGUAGGUAAUCUUCCACAAUGGACGAAAGUCUGAUGGAGCAACGCCGCGUGAGUGAUGAAGGUUUUCGGAUCGUAAAACUCUGUUGUAAGGGAAGAACACGUACGAGAGGAAAUGCUCGUACCUUGACGGUACCUUACGAGAAAGCCACGGCUAACUACGUGCCAGCAGCCGCCGUAA
rnacentral:rRNA from 1 species